AAAAAGCAGCCACCUUUAAAAAAGCGUUAAAGCUUCAUCUUACUCAUCUUAUAAUUCCUUACUAUUUCUUAAACCCUUUACUACUAUUAAGUAAUUCUAUAUGUUAUAUAAAAGAUUUUAUGCUAAAACUAGUAACAAGAAAUUGAAUUUCUCCAAAAUUUAAACAUACACCAAAAUGGACCAACCAUUGGUAAUUAGCGUUAAUAAAAUUAUUAUAGCAACACACCCAGAAAACACUAUACCUUUACACGUUAACCUUACACAAGAAAAUUUCUGGAAAGAUUAAAAGAAAGAGAAGGAACUCGGCAAAUCUUAACCCCGCCUGUUUACCAAAAACAUCGCCUCUUGAUCAAACAUAAGAGGUCUAGCCUGCCCAGUGACACACUUAAACGGCCGCGGUACCCUGACCGUGCAAAGGUAGCAUAAUCAUUUGUUCUUUAAAUAAGGACUCGUAUCAACGGCAUCACGAGGGUUAUACUGUCUCCUCUUUCUAAUCAGUGAAACUGACCUCCCCGUGAAGAGGCGGGGAUAUAAAAACAAGACGAGAAGACCCCAUGGAGCUUUAAACCCAAUAACAACUCUUUUUAAAUAAACUUUUAAAAUUUAGAUGUACUGUUUAUUGGUUUUGGGUUGGGGUGACCACGGAGUAAAAAUUAACCUCCUUGACGAAUAGAUUUUAUCUUAAUCCAAGAGCCACCGCUCAAAGAAUCAAAAAUUUGACGUUACAUGAUCCGGCAACCGAUCAACGAACCAAGUUACCCUGGGGAUAACAGCGCAAUCCAUUUCAAGAGCCCCUAUCGACAAAUGGGUUUACGACCUCGAUGUUGGA
rnacentral:rRNA from 1 species